rnacentral:sRNA from 1 species
UCCAAUUGAUGUUCAGUGCGGCCGGUCC